UACGGGGGGGGCAAGCGGUUGUUCGGAAUUACUGGGCGUAAAGGGCUCGUAGGCGGCCAACUAAGUCAGACGUGAAAUCCCUCAGCUUAACUGGGGAACUGCGUCUGAUACUGGAUGGCUUGAGUUUGGGAGAGGGAUGCGGAAUUCCAGGUGUAGCGGUGAAAUGCGUAGAUAUCUGGAGGAACACCGGUGGCGAAGGCGGCAUCCUGGACCAAUACUGACACUGAGGAGCGAAAGCGUGGGGAGCGAACAGG
rnacentral:rRNA from 1 species